rnacentral:rRNA from 1 species
GUUGGGACCGCCUCUGCUAAAGAGGAGGAAGGAAUGGGCAACGGUAGGUCAGCAUGCCCCGAAUUAUCCGGGCUACACGCGGGCUACAAUGGUCAGGACAAUGGGUAUCGACACCGAGAGGUGGAGGCAAUCUCCUAAACCUGUCCUUAGUUCGGAUUGUGGGCUGCAACUCGCCCACAUGAAGCUGGAAUCCGUAGUAAUCGCGUUUCAAAAUAGCGCGGUGAAUAUGUCCCUGCUCCUU